rnacentral:rRNA from 1 species
UCCUACGGGGCGCAGCAGUGGGGAAUAUUGGGCAAUGGGCGCAAGCCUGACCCAGCAACGCCGCGUGAAGGAAGAAGGCUUUCGGGUUGUAAACUUCUUUUCUUGGGGACGAAGAAAGUGACGGUACCCAAGGAAUAAGCCACGGCUAACUACGUGCCAGCAGCCGCGGUAAUACGUAGGUGGCAAGCGUUAUCCGGAAUGAUUGGGCGUAAAGGGUGCGCAGGCGGUCCUGCAAGUCUGGAGUGAAACGCAUGAGCUCAACUCAUGCAUGGCUUUGGAAACUGGAGGACUGGAGAGCAGGAGAG